rnacentral:rRNA from 1 species
GACGAACGCUGGCGGCGUGCUUAACACAUGCAAGUCGAACGGAAAGGCUCCAGCUUGCUGGAGUGCUCGAGUGGCGAACGGGUGAGUAACACGUGGGCAAUCUGCCCUGCACUCUGGGAUAAGCCUGGGAAACUGGGUCUAAUACCGGAUAGGACCUUUCUCCUCAUGGGGUUUGGUGGAAAGUUUUUCGGUGCAGGAUGAGCCCGCGGCCUAUCAGCUUGUUGGUGGGGUAAUGGCCUACCAAGGCGACGACGGGUAGCCGGCCUGAGAGGGUGAUCGGCCACAUUGGGACUGAGAUACGGCCCAGACUCCUACGGGAGGCAGCAGUGGGGAAUAUUGCACAAUGGGCGAAAGCCUGAUGCAGCGACGCCGCGUGAGGGAUGACGGCCUUCGGGUUGUAAACCGCUUUCAGUAGGGACGAAGCGCGAGUGACGGUACCGGCAGAAGAAGCACCGGCUAACUACGUG